AGGUUCACCUUUCAAAGAAAGAGAAGAACAAGAACAAGAACAAGAAGAACUAACAAGUGGUCUGACGGUGCAAAAUGUUUUAAAAGAGAACUCUAUAGAAAUUUCCGAGGAAAGCUUCUUUGAGCUAAAGUAUGAUCCGGAGUCUGUUUGGGGUUAUAUCGAGGUAUUCAGUCCAUGUUGAAUAUCCUGUGGUUAUUCAAGCUACACAACUUUCUCCGUUUGGUUUCAAUUUGGGAAUGUUUGUUAAAAAAAUUUCAAAAAAAAUUAAACACUAGUUUGGUGGGGGGAAAAAUGAAAAUAUCUUAAACACUCGUCAUUUUCAUAUGUUUUUCUCUUUUGUACUAACGUUAUAUUGUAACUUCUAGGCAGUUCAUAUUAAUAUUUGGAAGAGUAUUGUAAUA